rnacentral:lncRNA from 1 species
CCCCACAAGUGGUUCACUUCAGAGAAAAAAAAUAAAAAAUAAAAAAAAUUCUUGCACAAAAUUAGCAGUUUCGUCAAAUUAAUACAUUCCAAUCACACGUCCUAUUAACACCCCCGUUUCCAUCACAAUUCACACAUCCUAUUAACUUCCAGGCUGAUAAUAGUUAACAAAGAGAGAAUUUUAAACAAGCAUUCUCACUUAUUGCAGCAGAGAAUUGGCUAAGGCUAGCACUGCUCGUCAUAGAAAGACCACCACCACUGCUGUAAUUACUUGUUAUCCCUUUAUUGUGCAUAAACAUGCAAAUUUAAUGUAAAUCGAGCCAGCAUUCUUUCUUUGCUUAUAAUUAAGGGAAUAACUAGUUAAUACAUGUUGCGCAUUAGUGCUUACUUGACAUGUUAGUAUAAGCUAAUGUAGAAAGAGUUGGUUUUAAUAACUUUAAGUAACUUAUAAUUACCAAACAGAUACAUUACCUAUUUUCUUGCUUCUGUGUAGCUAAUGUUACAUAUUUGGCAAGUAAUCACAAACAAACUUAUUUUCAAUUUUUACCAACAAAAAACUUAUUU